GCGGGGCGGGGCGGGGCGGUGCCGAGCGGGGCGAGAGAAGGCCCGCUCCUCCCAUUCGUCGCGUCCUUAACUCUUUGCUAUCCUUCCGCUGAGCUUCCUCUUCUUUCCCUCCGACCUCGGAAAGGGGGCGGGGCUUUCGGGGGCGGAAGUUGCGGUGCAUUGUGGGUUCUCCUGGAGCUGUGGAGUUGAUCCUGAAUGAAAGUGGCGCGCCGCCCCUGACGUUACCCGGAUUGGAGAGGUUGGAAUUCAGAUUACGGCUGCGAUUCGGGUGUCUCGGACCCCGGUGUGCACCGGACCACGGGGAGGCGGCUCCAAAGGCGCGGCGAACGUUGGUGAGGGAGGGCAGCUCUGCGCAGCCCCAAGACAUGGCUCACAACAAGAUCCCGCCGCGGUGGCUGAACUGUCCCCGGCGCGGCCAGCCGGUGGCAGGAAGAUUCUUACCUCUGAAGACAAUGUUAGGACCAAGAUAUGAUAGUCAAGUUGCUGAAGAAAAUCGGUUCCAUCCCAGCAUGCUCUCAAAUUACCUAAAGAGCCUAAAGGUUAAAAUGGGCUUGUUGGUGGACCUGACAAAUACUUCAAGGUUCUAUGACCGAAAUGACAUAGAAAAAGAAGGAAUCAAAUAUAUAAAACUUCAGUGUAAAGGACAUGGUGAGUGCCCUACCACUGAGAAUACUGAGACCUUUAUUCGUCUGUGUGAGCGGUUUAAUGAAAGAAAUCCACCUGAACUUAUAGGUGUUCAUUGUACUCAUGGCUUCAAUCGCACUGGUUUCCUCAUAUGUGCCUUUUUGGUGGAGAAAAUGGAUUGGAGUAUCGAAGCAGCAGUUGCUACUUUUGCCCAAGCCAGACCACCAGGAAUCUACAAGGGUGAUUAUUUGAAGGAACUUUUUCGUCGGUAUGGUGACAUAGAGGAAGCACCACCCCCACCUCUAUUGCCAGAUUGGUGUUUUGAGGAUGAUGAAGACGAAGAUGAGGAUGAGGAUGGAAAGAAGGAAUCAGAACCCGGGUCAAGUGCUUCUUUUGGCAAAAGGAGAAAAGAACGGUUAAAACUGGGCGCUAUUUUCUUGGAAGGUGUUACUGUUAAAGGUGUAACUCAAGUAACAACACAACCAAAGUUAGGAGAGGUACAGCAGAAGUGUCAUCAAUUCUGUGGCUGGGAAGGGUCUGGAUUCCCUGGAGCACAGCCUGUUUCCAUGGACAAGCAAAAUAUUAAACUUUUAGACCUGAAGCCGUACAAAGUAAGCUGGAAAGCAGAUGGUACUCGGUACAUGAUGUUGAUUGAUGGCACAAAUGAAGUUUUUAUGAUUGAUAGAGACAAUUCAGUAUUUCAUGUUUCAAAUCUGGAAUUUCCAUUUCGUAAAGAUCUUCGUAUGCAUUUAUCAAAUACUCUCUUGGAUGGCGAGAUGAUUAUUGACAGAGUAAAUGGACAGGCUGUUCCUAGAUAUUUGAUAUAUGACAUAAUUAAAUUCAAUUCACAGCCCGUUGGAGAUUGUGAUUUUAAUGUUCGUCUGCAGUGUAUAGAACGAGAAAUUAUAAGUCCUCGACACGAAAAAAUGAAGACUGGGCUCAUUGACAAAACACAGGAACCAUUUAGCGUCAGAAAUAAGCCGUUUUUUGACAUCUGUACUUCAAGAAAGCUACUUGAAGGAAAUUUUGCCAAAGAAGUGAGCCAUGAAAUGGAUGGACUUAUUUUUCAGCCUACUGGAAAAUACAAACCUGGUCGAUGUGAUGAUAUUUUGAAAUGGAAGCCUCCCAGUCUGAAUUCUGUGGAUUUUCGUCUAAAAAUAACAAGAAUGGGAGGAGAAGGGUUACUUCCUCAGAAUGUUGGCCUCCUGUAUGUUGGAGGUUAUGAAAGACCCUUUGCACAAAUCAAGGUCAAGCCAUGGAAGAUUCUUCUUUUCCGUAGUUGUUAUUUCAGGUGACAAAAGAGCUGAAACAGUAUGACAACAAAAUUAUAGAAUGCAAAUUUGAGAACAACAGCUGGGUCUUCAUGAGACAGAGAACAGACAAAAGUUUUCCUAAUGCCUACAACACUGCCAUGGCUGUGUGUAACAGCAUCUCAAACCCUGUCACCAAGGAGAUGCUGUUUGAGUUCAUCGACAGAUGUACUGCAGCUUCUCAAGGACAGAAGCGAAAACAUCAUCUGGACCCUGACACGGAGCUCAUGCCACCACCACCUCCCAAAAGACCACGCCCUUUAACCUAAGACCUGCCUGUGACUUCAGGGUUAAGAAGAAAGAGGAAUGAGGGGAAAACGCUGUUGCCCAUUUUUGUAGCCAGAGAAAUUGAAAAAUGACUGUGGCUUGAUGUUGAUACACAUUUGAAUUUUUUUUAAAAAAAGAAAGGUAUCGUAGCCAGCCUGUAAAUACUUGAUGCAUUCGUUUCCUCAGUGCUGCAAUACAUCAUGGACUUAAACAUUUUAUUUAUCUGAUAAACUCAGCCUUACCUUGUGGAAUCUGAAGAUUGAAAUAUCCAAAGGUUUAAACAAGAUGGAAAUCAAUGAAAAAGAGGCCUUGUUUAUAUAUGGGUAACUUCACAUUUAAUUUAUAAAGUUAACAAUCUGAAAACUGUGAGCCCAUAAAACAGUAUUUUUUAGAAGUUGUGUUACAACUGUAGCAAAUUUUCCUUUUAAAAAAUCCAGGCAAUGGCAUUAAACAUUCUUGCUAUCAUUUACCAUGGAUUUCCUACAUUUCUGAGAUCCCUGUAUUCAAAAACAAAUGACAGGGUUGUUAAGUUGUACUAUAUUAAACAACUUGGUCUGGUUUAUAUCAUUUUAACAAGUUUUUUGGAAAUGUAAAAGAAAAAAGUAAAGCUCCGUUUUUGUGAAUUGCAUUGUUUCUAAAGGAAGUAUUUUGAGUAUUUUCAUCUGUUUGUAUUGUUUCGACUAUGAUAUCAGAUAUCCAGUGUGUCCAUUCUGGCAGUGGUUUUGAGUUACUUCAUGGAACUUGGACAUACACCACCAGGUCCUUUAUGUGUUGUUCUCCUGGGAGACUUUUUUUUUUUAAAUGCCAGGGCUACUUCUGCUUUACCUCAGUGGUAUCAGCACAUUGUAAAUUACGUUAAAACACACAACUCACUGUGAUCUAUGGGAGUGAUAUCAAAUACAAACGAUGUUGUGUUACUUCUCUCGAACAAAACAGCAAAGGGAAUGCCAGCUAACUUCUUUGAUUAGAAGGUAAUGUCAUGGAAUAGAAUGCUGUCACUAGAAAAUGCUCUCCCACUGCUAGAUAAAUGCAGAGGCAAAGUGUAGACAUCUGUAGGAACUAAAUAUCAAGGAAAUCAAGACAUUUAUUUUCAAAGCGAGAAUUCUAUCUACAUUGUAUUCUGUGGAUGUUAUUUCUGUUAUACAUCUGAAUUUUAAAAUGUUUACUGAUAGAUAAUGGAUUUAAAGGGCGGCUAAUUGAUUGUCUGCCAUUGUUGAUAAACUGUUCCAAUUGGUUUGUGAAAGAACUCUGAGAAUUAGCUAAAUGGAGGCUAGUGUAUUUAUUUUUAGAGGUACAUGUUUUAAGUAAAUGUAUUUAAAACAAAUUUUCAUGGUCUGAAUUGUAUAUGUAAAUGCAUAUCUGUGUAAGUAUAUGCAAGUGUAUAUUCUUCUACUGAUUCAGUCAGACACGAAAUCCAACUGAAUUACCUGGUAGACUGAAUAUCUGACAGGAUUUCUAUAUGGACAUAGCACAGAUGAACCAAAAAUGUAUUUAUAUUCACCUGAGUUUUAAUGUUUUUAAACAAAGUUUUCUCCUGCAGUGCUUUUCUAUAUGAAAUAGUUGAGUCAAGCUUGGGCUUUUUUCUUCGUUGUUCCCAAGUCAUGUAAUGUAUAGUGAAUUUAUCCAAAAUGCCAUUGUAACGUUUUUUACUAGAGUGCUUUUGCACAUUUGGGCGCUAAAGGGAUUAAAACAACUGAUGCCACAAUGACUAUUGAAGGAGGGAAAAUUUUCAAGGUUCCAUAGUAUCUUUUACAAAAUGGAUUUAAAAAAAAUGCCUAUGCAACUCCAAAUAGUCUGAUGCCUGCUUCCCCAGGACGAGUGACUCUUCCACGGUGUGCUGCUUUCCUCCGAGCCUGUGGAAAGGCAGAGCCCUUUUGCAGAUACAAAAGCAAGCUUUUGCCAAUGAUCUUUAAUGGAGUUAAAAUGUUUAUGGUAAUUGUAACCUUUCAAAUGAGUUACGUGAAAAGAGCAUCUCACUUUUAAUACACCCAGAUAUUUUCUUCAAGUCUUUGUGCAUUUUAGCAGGACUUAAUUUUCUUAAUUUAUUCUUUCCUUUCAAUUAUAGUGACAUAGAGUAGUUGGCCUUAUAACUAGAUCCCAUUUAGCCCCUGAACAUAAUACCAUCUGCAGUAUUAUAAAAGUCAUUUAGAAGGUCAGGGGGAUAAUCUAGAGGCAGGAUUUUGGACAUUGUGAAGGAAAUGUGCUCCUUCUCAGCUCACUUCAAUAACUAUUUUCUGAGACUGAAGUUUUUUAGACAAGAAUAAGAAAACUUUGCUUUCUUCAGUUAUCACAUGUGAAAGCUUUUGCUUUUUGUUAGGAAAAGGUGUGGAUGACUCUACUGCGUGGAUGGUUACAUUUGCUUUCCGUGAAAUGCUCAGAAAAUGUCAGGACAUUCCUUUUCCAAUUGUGUGUCAGUGCGUAUUGUAAUAAAACUACUGAUUUAAAUUA